CCUACGGGGAGCAGCAGUGGGGAAUAUUGCACAAUGGGGGAAACCCUGAUGCAGCGACGCCGCGUGAGUGAAGAAGUAUUUCGGUACGUAAAGCUCUAUCAGCAGGGAAGAAAAUGACGGUACCUGACUAAGAAGCCCCGGCUAACUACGUGCCAGCAGCCGCGGUAAUACGUAGGGGGUAAGCGUUAUCCGGAUUUACUGGGUGUAAAGGGAGCGUAGACGGCAGCGCAAGUCUGGAGUGAAAUCCCAUGGCUUAACCAUGGAACUGCUUUGGAAACUGUGCAGCUAGAGUGCAGGAGAGGUAAGCGGAAUUCCUAGUGUAGCGGUGAAAUGCGUAGAUAUUAGGAGGAACACCAGUGGCGAAGGCGGCUUACUGGACUGUAACUGACGUUGAGGCUCGAAAGCGUGGGGAGCAAACAGGAUUAGAUACCCCUGUAGUC
rnacentral:rRNA from 1 species